rnacentral:rRNA from 1 species
GACGAACGCUGGCGGCGUGCCUAAUACAUGCAAGUAGAACGCACAGUUUAUACCGUAGCUUGCUACACCAUAGACUGUGAGUUGCGAACGGGUGAGUAACGCGUAGGUAACCUGCCUGGUAGCGGGGGAUAACUAUUGGAAACGAUAGCUAAUACCGCAUAAUAUUAAUUAUUGCAUGAUAAUUAAUUGAAAGGUGCAAUUGCACCACUACCAGAUGGACCUGCGUUGUAUUAGCUAGUAGGUGAGGUAACGGCUCACCUAGGCGACGAUACAUAGCCGACCGGAGAGGGUGAUCGGCCACACUGGGACGGAGACACGGCCCAGACUCCUACGGGAGGCAGCAGUAGGGAAUCUUCGGCGAUGGACGAAAGUCUGACCGAGCAACGCCGCGUGAGUGAAGAAGGUUUUCGGAUCGUAAAGCUCUGUUGUAAGAGAAGAACGGGUGUGAGAGUGGAAAGUUCACACUGUGACGGUAUCUUACCAGAAAGGGACGGCUAACUACGUG